rnacentral:rRNA from 1 species
UACGUAGGUGGCAAGCGUUGUCCGGAAUUAUUGGGCGUAAAGAGCGCGCAGGCGGUCGUUCAAGUCGCGUGUGAAAGCCCCCGGCUCAACUGGGGAGGGUCACGCGAUACUGAUCGACUCGAAGGCAGGAGAGGGUAGUGGAAUUCCCGGUGUAGUGGUGAAAUGCGUAGAUAUCGGGAGGAACACCAGUGGCGAAGGCGACUACCUGGCCUGUUCUUGACGCUGAGGCGCGAAAGCUAGGGGAGCAAACGGG